rnacentral:rRNA from 1 species
GUCUUAGCUUGCUAAGGCUGAUGGCGACCGGCGCACGGGUGAGUAACACGUAUCCCCUUUGGCGUCUACUCUUGGACAGCCUUCUGAAAGGAAGAUCUUACAAGAUGGCAUCAUGAGUUCACAUGUUCACAUGAUUAAAGGUAUUCCGGUAGACGAUGGGGAUGCGUUCCAUUAGAUAGUAGGCGGGGUAACGGCCCACCUAGUCCUCGAUGGAUAGGGGUUCUGAGAGGAAGGUCCCCCACAUUGGAACUGAGACACGGUCCAAACUCCUACGGGAGGCAGCAGUGAGGAAUAUUGGUCAAUGGACGAGAGUCUGAACCAGCCAAGUAGCGUGAAGGAUGAAGGUCCUACGGAUUGUAAACUUCUUUUAUAAGGGAAUAAAACCUCCCACGUGUGGGAGCUUGUAUGUACCUUAUGAAUAAGCAUCGGCUAACUCCGUGCCAGCAGCCGCGGUAAUACGGAGGAUGCGAGCGUUAUCCGGAUUUAUUGGGUUUAAAGGGAGCGCAGACGGGUCGUUAAGUCAGCUGUGAAAGUUUGGGGCUCAACCUUAAAAUUGCAGUUGAUACUGGCGUCCUUGAGUGCGGUUGAGGUGUGCGGAAUUCGUGGUGUAGCGGUGAAAUGCUUAGAUAUCACGAAGAACUCCGAUUG